rnacentral:lncRNA from 1 species
AUUUGAUUGCAUGUCAGAAUUUUCCAGUCUGAAAAAACACCUCAUUAAACGUAUUACAUUACUGAAACAUUUCUCUGAACAGUUUGAUCUCAGCCAUGAAAUGGAAUCUGAUAUGAUAGAUGUGUGCAAGGGUGUGACUAAAAUCUAUCAUUACAUAAUUGCUCUGCCACCUGAUGUUACAGAACUAGAAACACAAAUUCCAGAAGUUAUUACCCCUGAAGAGAAGUUACAUAAUAUGGAAGUGGUAAGCGAUUAAAAAAAAA